rnacentral:rRNA from 1 species
UACGUAGGGUGCGAGCGUUGUCCGGAAUUAUUGGGCGUAAAGAGCGUGUAGGCGGCCAGAUAGGUCCGUUGUGAAAACUCGAGGCUCAACCUCGAGACGCCGAUGGAAACCAUCUGGCUAGAGUCCGGAAGAGGAGAGUGGAAUUCCUGGUGUAGCGGUGAAAUGCGCAGAUAUCAGGAAGAACACCCGUGGCUAAGGCGGCUCUCUAGUACGGUACUGACGCUGAGACGCGAAAGCGUGGGGAGCGAACAGG